CCUACGGGUGGCUGCAGUGGGGAAUAUUGGGCAAUGGGCGCAAGCCUGACCCAGCAACGCCGCGUGAAGGAAGAAGGCUUUCGGGUUGUAAACUUCUUUUAAGAGGGAAGAGCAGAAGACGGUACCUCUUGAAUAAGCCACGGCUAACUACGUGCCAGCAGCCGCGGUAAUACGUAGGUGGCAAGCGUUGUCCGGAUUUACUGGGUGUAAAGGGCGUGUAGCCGGGCUGACAAGUCAGAUGUGAAAUUCCGGGGCUCAACCCCGGACCUGCAUUUGAAACUGUUGGUCUUGAGUAUCGGAGAGGCAGGCGGAAUUCCUAGUGUAGCGGUGAAAUGCGUAGAUAUUAGGAGGAACAUCAGUGGCGAAGGCGACUAUCUGGCACAUAACUGACGCUGAGGAGCGAAAGCGUGGGUAGCAAACAGGAUUAGAUACCCCUGUAGUC
rnacentral:rRNA from 1 species